rnacentral:rRNA from 1 species
UACGUAGGGUGCAAGCGUUGUCCGGAAUUAUUGGGCGUAAAGAGCUCGUAGGCGGCUUGUCGCGUCGGCUGUGAAAACCCGGAGCUCAACUCCGGGCCUGCAGUCGAUACGGGCGGACUCGAGUUCGGCAGGGGAGACUGGAAUUCCUGGUGUAGCGGUGAAAUGCGCAGAUAUCAGGAGGAACAGCCGGUGGCGAAGGCGGGUCUCUGGGCCGAUACUGACGCUGAGGAGCGAAAGCGUGGGGAGCGAACAGG